rnacentral:lncRNA from 1 species
AGUGAGGCAACUGAAUAAUAGCAGUAUAUAUAUUAUAUUUAAUAUAUACAUACAUACAUGCAUGCAUACAUACAUACAUAUUUACACACACUGUGUGUUUCUGGUGUCUGUAUAUGUUUGUUAGUGUUUCUACUGACAGCCAUGACACUUGCUCUCUGUUGUAGGCCCACAAGAUGGCGUGGCCUUUCCUUGAACCGGUAGACCCCAAUGAUGCACCGGAUUAUUACGGUGUUAUUAAAGAGCCAAUGGGUAAGUGCUUGCACUAAAUAGGAAGACGAGUUUCACAAGUCUUGGACAUUGAUCUCUCACCAUGAAGCUGAUGAGGGAGAGUAUCUUGGACGUGCAGGCAACGGUGUAACUGUGUCAGUCAGUUGGGAUGCUUACUUGAUGUGUCUUUUGAAGCUGGGUUUCCUAGGUACUUAGUCCAGGCUGACUCGACCCUGGAGUGCACCUCCCAAUGCUGAGGUUAGAGGAAGGCACCACCAUCUGGGAAUAUCUAUUAAAUUUACAUAUGCAUGCCUUUGAGCCAGCAGCUUAAUGGGACAAGUGUAUAUUCCUCAACAGUGUUUAUGGUGGCUAAACACUGGAAAUGAACAAGCUGUCGGCCCAGGAGCCUCUGCGUCAGAAUGUGUAUGAGUAGAGACCUGUGCAGCUGUACAGACAGUGAGUGCAGUCAGUGAACCCAGCCUGAUGCAAUGGAGACCCUUCUUUCUCCAGGAGAGAAAACACUGGUAGAGCAGCUGUCCCUGAAGGUACCAAGAGUGGCAGCUACAUGAGGUCAUGUUUCAGAAUACUGGAGAAGUUCCAAAACCAAAGCAAAAAGACUUCCAAACGUGUGGAGCAGUCCCUUCAUAGCUGUUAGAAGAAUUGUAUUGUUAAAGUAUUCUUAAAGAGGAGAGAACACAGAGAAGAAGGAAAGGAGGACUCGGUGAGAUCCAUCCCAGGGCUGAGAGGUGGAGUGCAUUGUACACUUGAGACCCAGGAUAGCCGCUGCGUUAGUCUCUUUGGAUAAUGAUGACUUUGUGUGGUCUAGAAGUUGAAUUUACUGGAGCUAGAGAGAUUGCCCAACAGGUAGGACAGCUGAGGCUCUGCCCACAGAGCAGGCUUCAGUUCCCAGCACCCAGAUACAUGGUGGUUAGCAUCAUCUAUACCAGAGGUCUGACUGACUCCUUUCUCACCACUGCCUCCUGCUCAGUACACAUCCAUGGGAUUAAGAAAUUGAGUGUUUCUUAAUUUAUUAGCCAACUUCAACUUUUUAAAUUAUUUUUGUCUCGCGGUGUUUGGCACACAGAGUUCAUUCUGUAGUCCAUCUUGGCUGUCAUCCACCACUCCAGCAGUCCUCUUCCUCAGACCGAAGCAUGCAGGCCUGGCAGGUGUGAGCCACUGCUCCUAGUUUUUUCAAAGAGCUAGGGUACUUUCCUGUGUCUUUCCCUUUGUUACCACAGGAACAAUGUGCCUCCUCUGUAGACAUGUCCAGGGCAUACAGAGCUACAAGACACCAUGGGAAAAAGUUAAAGUUACCCAUUUAUCUCUGGGCUUUAAACUAUAAACAUUAUUUUCUAGUCAUGCCCCACUCCCUAUUGUUUUGAAAUAGGGUCACACUCUGUAGUCUUGGAUGCCCAGAACAUAUAAUUCUCCUGCCUCAGCCUCUUGGGCACAGGCAAUAUUGGUAUACACAAUUCCCAGACAGUUGUAUAUUUGCUAAAAGUUCAUAAAUAUGCAUUAAAUUGUCUCCAUGGUGUGGACUAACUUUAAAAUGGUGGGAGACAGAAGAAGGCAGAUCUUUGAAGCUAGCCUGGUCUAUAGAGUAAAUUCUAGGAUAGCCAGGGCUAUACAGAGAAACCCUAUCUGGAAAACAAACAAAACUGGUGGGUCGCUUUGAGGCAGGUAGCAGGGUGUUACUAAAGGCCAUGACAUGCUGCUGGUGGUGGUGGUGGUGGUGGUGGUGGUAUUCAUAACCCUGAAUUGUAAUUAACCUUAGUAUGCAUAGUGAUUUGUGUUUGUUAUUUUAGUCUACUUUCAAAGAUAAAGACAAUUUCUGCUGGGUAUGGUGGUGCAUCCCUUUAAUCCCAGCAUUUGGAACACAGGCAGGCAGAUCUCUGGGAGUUGUAGGCCAGCCUGGUUUAUUUUACUGAGUGAGUUUUAGGAUAGCCAGAGCUAUAUAGAGAGACCUUGUCUCUCAAAACAACAAC